AUUGAACGCUGGCGGCAGGCUAACACAUGCAAGUCGAACGAGUGGCGGACGGGUGAGUAAUGCUUGGGAAUCUGGCUUAUGGAGGGGGAUAACGACGGGAAACUGUCGCUAAUACCGCGUACCAUAGGAUGAGCCCAUGGGGGAGUAGGUAGUUUGCGGGGUAAAGGCCCACCAAGGCGACGAUCAGUAGCGGGUCUGAGAGGAUGAUCCGCCACACGGGGUCUGUGACACGGCCCAGACUCCUACGGGAGGCAGCAGUGGGGAAUUUUGGACAGUGGGCGCAAGCCUGAUCCAGCCAUGCCGCGUGUCUGAAGAAGGCCUUCGGGUUGUAAUGGACUUUUGUCAGGGAAGCGGUACCUGAAGAAUAAGCACCGGCUAACUACGUGCCAGCAGCCGCGGUAAUAC
rnacentral:rRNA from 1 species